rnacentral:rRNA from 1 species
CGUGUCGUCAGCUCGUGUCGUGAGAUGUUGGUUAGUCCGUACGAGCGCAACCCUUGUCCUUAGUUACCAGCACGUUAUGGUGGGCACUCUAAGGAGACUGCCGGUGACAAACCGGAGGAAGGUGGGGAUGACGUCAAGUCAUCAUGGCCCUUACGGCCUGGGCUACACACGUGCUACAAUGGUCGGUACAAAGGGUUGCCAAGCCGCGAGGUGGAGCUAAUCCCAUAAAACCGAUCGUAGUCCGGAUCGCAGUCUGCAACUCGACUGCGUGAAGUCGGAAUCGCUAGUAAUCGUGAAUCAGAAUGUCACGGUGAAUACGUUCCCGGGCCUU